GUAGAGAUCUGGAGGAAUACCGAUGGCGAAGGCAGCCAUCUGGCCUAAUACUGACACUGAGGUGCGAAAGCAUGGGGAGCAAACAGGAUUAGAUACCCUGGUAGUCCAUGCCGUAAACGAUGUCUACUAGCCGUUGGGGCCUUUGAGGCUUUAGUGGCGCAGCUAACGCGAUAAGUAGACCGCCUGGGGAGUACGGUCGCAAGACUAAAACUCAAAUGAAUUGACGGGGGCCCGCACAAGCGGUGGAGCAUGUGGUUUAAUUCGAUGCAACGCGAAGAACCUUACCUGGUCUUGACAUAGUAAGAACUUUCCAGAGAUGGAUUGGUGCCUUCGGGAACUUACAUACAGGUGCUGCAUGGCUGUCGUCAGCUCGUGUCGUGAGAUGUUGGGUUAAGUCCCGCAACGAGCGCAACCCUUUUCCUUAUUUGCCAGCGGGUUAAGCCGGGAACUUUAAGGAUACUGCCAGUGACAAACUGGAGGAAGGCGGGGACGACGUCAAGUCAUCAUGGCCCUUACGGCCAGGGCUACACACGUGCUACAAUGGUCGGUACAAAGGGUUGCUACCUCGCGAGAGGAUGCUAAUCUCAAAAAGCCGAUCGUAGUCCGGAUUGGAGUCUGCAACUCGACUCCAUGAAGCCGGAGUCGCUAGUAAUCGCGGAUCAGAAUGCCGCGGUGAAUACGUUCCCGGGCCUUGUACACACCGCCCGU
rnacentral:rRNA from 1 species